rnacentral:lncRNA from 1 species
CCCGCACUGCGCCAUCAAAUGAGUCAAGCGGAAGGACCGGUACCCCUCCGGGAAAACCAGGCACUAACACACGGUGCACCCAACUGAAUUUAAACUCGGGAACAGUGUAGGCAGUGUCAACAAAGCGCGGUGCUGGGUCCCGAGCGUCCAAAGGUCCCUGCCAGCUCCCAGACGCGGCCAAAUCCACAGGAUUCCAAAAGACGGGGUUUCACCGUAUUAGCCAGGAUGGUCUCAAUCUUCUAACCUCGUGAUCUGCCCACCUCGGCCUCGCAAAGCGCUGGGAUUACAGGCGUGAGCCUCCGCGACCGGCCAGAACUAGCUCUUCUUAAGGAUGUGACAGUGAUCUGCACUAGAGCUUCAGGCAGCUAAGGAACUAUUGGGACAUUGCUCAAGCAAGGAACCACCUGGCUCCCUGAGGAGGCUCACUGCAUGCUUUCGUGAAAGGACCCUGUCCCAGCAAUCGAUGUCCACUAUCAGCAGGAAGAAGUUACAGAAGAAUGACCUUCACCCUCCUCUCCUCUUAAAAUUAAGGGCUCUCUUAGCUGGGCAUAGUGGCGCAUGCUUGUAAUCCCAGAUACUUGGGAGGAUGAGGCACGAGAAUCACUUGAGCCCGGGAAGCAGAGGCUGCAGUGAGCCAAGAUCGCACCACCACACUCUAGCCUGGGUGGCAGAGCGAGACCCUGUCUCAAAAAAACAAAACAAAACAAAAAGAUUAAGGGUUCCCUCAAAAUUAGUGGGGGUAAUGUUAGGGAACCAGGAGCCUAGGAGGGCCAGAGUAGCACCAUUUUAAGUUCAGCUCCAUCUUGAGAAAUAGUAAAGCCCAUUCUCUGCUGGUCACGACCCACAUUCAUGGGCUGUUUACAGUGGAAGAAACAGCCUAAAGAUACCUACAAGGACACACUCCUACUACAGCCAAGAGUCCAGAUGUCCAAUACCCAUAACAAUCUCUGUUUUCAAGAUAAUAAUAGUUUUGCUUUGAUGUAUCCACACACUAGAAUGUCAAGGCCAGUUUUCUUUAAAUCAGUAGUCAUACAUUCUGUCAUGCUGUCUGCUCACCCACACGUGGACACAGCUUAGCUUAGCCUUUAUAUAGACAAGAUCUCUAGAGAAGAAAAACAAAAAACAAAGUCGAGGCGUUCCUCCUCUUGCUUUCUGAGGAUGCCCUACUCUAACAGUGUAGUUUCUAAUAACGUUGCUUCUUUCACUGCACUCUGUGACUCGUUUUGAAGUCCCUCCUGCUCGAGAUCCAAGAACGUUCUCUUGGGGUCUGGAUAGAGAUCCCUUUUCCGGUAACACGAUCAUUGAAGGUAUAGAGGUCCCGGACUGCUGGGAAUAUUUUAUAUUUCCUUUUGAAGACUCUCCAUCCUGCCCUUAUUUCUUAAAGCUGAGUUAAUUCCAUUGCACAUAAUUUAUUUCUCCCUCCUGUAUACAUAUCUUCCUUUUGUCCUCUUCUGUCGCUUUUAAUACCGUGUGGAGGUGCAAAACCCCUUCUAGUAAUGGCUGGGGAAAAAAAGUCAUGUAAGUCCCAGGGUGAAAUAAGACUUUCUAAAAAAAAUACUUGAGUCUCAACCUCUAAAACCUUUCAAGUACCCCGAUAUUUCUUUUCAUCUUGUCACAAAUUUUUAUAUUCCUCUUCAUCCUG